rnacentral:rRNA from 1 species
GUCUAAGGCCAUGCCACUCUGAACAAGCCCGAUAUCUGAUCUCGGAAGCUAAGCAGGGUCAGGCCUGGUUAGUACUUGGAUGGGAGAUCACCUAGGAAGAGCAGGUGCUGUAGGCA